GACGAACGCUGGCGGCGUGCUUAACACAUGCAAGUCGAACGGGCCUUGUCCCCUUUUUUUUUGGGGGUGGGGUUAGUGGCGAACGGGUGAGUAACAUGUGAGUAACCUGCCCCUCACUUCUGGAUAACCGCUUGAAAGGGUGGCUAAUACGGGGUGUUCUGGCCUGCUCGCAUGGGUGGGUUUGGAAAGAUUCGACCGGUUUUGGUUGUUUUGGUGGGGGAUGGGCUCGCGGCCUAUCAGCUUGUUGGUGGGGUGAUGGCCUGCCAAGGCUUUGACGGGUAGCCGGCCUGAGAGGGUGGGCGGUCACACUGGGACUGAGACACGGCCCAGACUCCUACGGGAGGCAGCAGUGGGGAAUAUUGCACAAUGGGCGCAAGCCUGAUGCAGCGACGCCGCGUGAGGGAUGGAGGCCUUCGGGUUGUGAACCUCUUUCGCCAGUGAAGAAGGUCCUGCUCUUUGUGGUGGGGUUGACGGUAGCUGGGUUAAUGAAGCGCCGGCUAACUACGUG
rnacentral:rRNA from 1 species